GGAAUCUUGCGCAAUGCGCGAAAGCGUGACGCAGCAACGCCGCGUGGGGGAAGAAGGCCUUCGGGUUGUAAACCUCUUUCAGUUGGGACGAAGGCCGUGCGGUUAAUAGCCGCGGCGGUUGACGGUACCUUCCGAAGAAGCCCCGGCUAACUACGUGCCAGCAGCCGCGGUAAUCCGUAGGGGGCAAGCGUUGUCCGGAAUCAUUGGGCGUAAAGAGCGUGUAGGCGGCCCGAUAAGUCCGCUGUGAAAGUCCAGGGCUCAACCCUGGAAUGCCGGUGGAUACUGUCGGGCUCGAGUUCGGAAGAGGUGAGUGGAAUUCCUGGUGUAGCGGUGAAAUGCGCAGAUAUCAGGAGGAACACCAAUGGCGAAGGCAGCUCACUGGGACGAUACUGACGCUGAGACGCGAAAGCGUGGGGAGCAAA
rnacentral:rRNA from 1 species